rnacentral:rRNA from 1 species
AUUGAACGCUGGCGGCAUGCCUUACACAUGCAAGUCGAACGGCAGCGGACCUUCGGGUGCCGGCGAGUGGCGAACGGGUGAGUAAUAUAUCGGAACGUACCUUUCAGUGGGGGAUAACGUAGCGAAAGUUACGCUAAUACCGCAUAUUCUGUGAGCAGGAAAGCAGGGGAUCGCAAGACCUUGCGCUGAUUGAGCGGCCGAUAUCAGAUUAGCUAGUUGGUGAGGUAAAGGCUCACCAAGGCGACGAUCUGUAGCGGGUCUGAGAGGAUGAUCCGCCACACUGGAACUGAGACACGGUCCAGACUCCUACGGGAGGCAGCAGUGGGGAAUUUUUGGACAAUGGGCGCAAGCCUGAUCCAGCCAUGCCGCGUGAGUGAAGAA